rnacentral:rRNA from 1 species
UACGGAGGGUCCAAGCGUUAUCCGGAAUCAUUGGGUUUAAAGGGUCCGCAGGCGGGCUAAUAAGUCAGAGGUGAAAGCCCACAGCUCAACUGUGGAACUGCCUUUGAUACUGUUAGUCUUGAGUUAUAUGGAAGUAGAUAGAAUAAGUAGUGUAGCGGUGAAAUGCAUAGAUAUUACUUAGAAUACCGAUUGCGAAGGCAGUCUACUACGUAUAUACUGACGCUAAUGGACGAAAGCGUGGGGAGCGAACGGG